CCUACGGGAGGCAGCAGUGGGGAAUAUUGGACAAUGGGCGAAAGCCUGAUCCAGCCAUGCCGCGUGUGUGAAGAAGGCCUUCGGGUUGUAAAGCACUUUCAGUGGGGAAGAAAGCCUUGGGGCCAAUACCCUCGAGGAAGGACAUCACCCACAGAAGAAGCACCGGCUAACUCCGUGCCAGCAGCCGCGGUAAUACGGAGGGUGCGAGCGUUAAUCGGAAUUACUGGGCGUAAAGCGCGCGUAGGCGGUCUGAUAAGCCGGUUGUGAAAGCCCCGGGCUCAACCUGGGAACGGCAUCCGGAGCUGUCAGGCUAGAGUGCAGGAGAGGAAGGUAGAAUUCCCGGUGUAGCGGUGAAAUGCGUAGAGAUCGGGAGGAAUACCAGUGGCGAAGGCGGCCUUCUGGACUGACACUGACGCUGAGGUGCGAAAGCGUGGGUAGCAAACAGGAUUAGAUACCGUGUAGUC
rnacentral:rRNA from 1 species